rnacentral:rRNA from 1 species
UUUGAUCAUGGCUCARGAUGAWMGCUAGCGGCAGGCUUAAUACAUGCAAGUCGAGGGGCAGCAUGACUGUAGCAAUACAGUUGAUGGCGACCGGCAAACGGGUGCGGAACACGUACAGAACCUUCCUUCGAGCGGGGAAUAGCCCAGAGAAAUUUGGAUUAAUACCCCAUAGUAUUACGGAGUGGCAUCACUUUGUAAUUAAAGAUUUAUCACUUGAAGAUGGCUGUGCGGCUGAUUAGGUAGUUGGCGGGGUAACGGCCCACCAAGCCUGCGAUCAGUAACUGGUGUGAGAGCACGACCAGUCACACGGGCACUGAGACACGGGCCCGACUCCUACGGGAGGCAGCAGUAAGGAAUAUUGGUCAAUGGACGAAAGUCUGAACCAGCCAUGCCGCGUGGAGGAUGAAGGUCCUCUGGAUUGUAAACUUCUUUUAUAUGGGACGAAAAAGGGUCUUUCUAGAUCAACUGACGGUACCAUAUGAAUAAGCACCGGCUAACUCCGUGCCAGCAGCCGCGGUAAUACGGAGGGUGCAAGCGUUAUCCGGAUUCACUGGGUUUAAAGGGUGCGUAGGUGGGUUGGUAAGUCAGUGGUGAAAUCUCCGAGCUUAACUUGGAAACUGCCAUUGAUACUAUCAGUCUUGAAUAUUGUGGAGGUUAGCGGAAUAUGUCAUGUAGCGGUGAAAUGCUUAGAUAUGACAUAGAACACCAAUUGCGAAGGCAGCUGGCUACACAUAUAUUGACACUGAGGCACGAAAGCGUGGGGAUCAAACAGGAUUAGAUACCCUGGUAGUCCACGCCCUAAACUAUGGAUACUCGACAUACGCGAUACACAGUGUGUGUCUGAGCGAAAGCAUUAAGUAUCCCACCUGGGAAGUACGACCGCAAGUUGAACUCAAAGGAAUUGGCGGGGGUC